rnacentral:rRNA from 1 species
UAGGGAAUCUUCCGCAAUGGACGCAAGUCUGACGGAGCAACGCCGCGUGAGUGAAGAAGGAUUUCGGUUCGUAAAACUCUGUUGUUAGAGAAGAACAGCGCAUAGAGUAACUGUUAUGCGUGUGACGGUAUCUAACCAGAAAGCCACGGCUAACUACGUGCCAGCAGCCGCGGUAAUACGUAGGUGGCAAGCGUUGUCCGGAUUUACUGGGCGUAAAGCGAGCGCAGGCGGUCAAUUAAGUCUGAUGUGAAAGCCCCCGGCUCAACCGGGGAGGGUCGUUGGAAACUGGUUGACUUGAGUGCAGGAGAGGGGAGUGGAAUUCCAUGUGUAGCGGUGAAAUGCGUAAAUAUAUGGAAGAACACCAGUGGCGAAGGCGACUCUCUGGUCUGUAACUGACGCUGAGGCUCGAAAGCGUGGGUAGCAAACAGG